AGCGGAGCUGUGGGCUGGGGGCUGGAGGACAGGUUUGUUCGCUGGACGCAAGCACCAGGCGCAGCCUCGCUCGCCGAGACCCGGCCAGGUAAGGCCGGUGGCCGCGCGAACGUGUUACGAGUCAGUUUUUAGUGAAAAAACAUUGAGCUAGGAGCCAAGACCCAUCUCUUCACUAUUUUGGUAUUGUGCAAGUCAUCUUAUCUCUCUGGAUCUCAGUUGUCUCAUCUGUAAAAAGGAGAUAAAAAUUAUUUACCUGCCUGAACAUGAGGUGGAGGAACAUCCUGCUACAGUAUUGCUUUCUCUUGAUUACAUGUUUACUUACCGCUCUUGAAGCUGUGCCUAUAGACAUAGACAAGACAAAAGUACAAAAUAUUCACCCUGUGGAAAGUGCAAAGAUAGAACCACCAGUAAGUGAAAUGAAGUGAAAUGGGAGGAAUUAUAACUAAACUAAAUGAAUUAUAACUAAAUGAGGCAAAAUGAGGUGAAACUAUAACUAAAUGAAAUGGGAGGAAUUAUAACAAAAAUAUUGCUAAUAUUU
rnacentral:sRNA from 1 species